UACGUAGGGUGCGAGCGUUAAUCGGAAUUACUGGGCGUAAAGCGUGCGCAGGCGGCUUUGCAAGACAGAUGUGAAAUCCCCGGGCUCAACCUGGGAACUGCAUUUGUGACUGCAAGGCUAGAGUACGGCAGAGGGGGAUGGAAUUCCGCGUGUAGCAGUGAAAUGCGCAGAUAUGCGGAGGAACACCAAUGGCGAAGGCAAUCCCCUGGGCCUGUACUGACGCUCAUGCACGAAAGCGUGGGGAGCAAACAGG
rnacentral:rRNA from 1 species